UACGUAGGGUGCAAGCGUUAAUCGGAAUUACUGGGCGUAAAGGGUGCGUAGGCGGUUCGUUAAGUCUGUCGUGAAAUCCCCGGGCUCAACCUGGGAAUGGCGAUGGAUACUGGCGAGCUAGAGUGUGGCAGAGGAUGGUGGAAUUCCCGGUGUAGCGGUGAAAUGCGUAGAGAUCGGGAGGAACAUCAGUGGCGAAGGCGGCCAUCUGGGACAACACUGACGCUGAAGCACGAAAGCGUGGGGAGCAAACAGG
rnacentral:rRNA from 1 species